UACGUAGGGUGCAAGCGUUAAUCGGAAUUACUGGGCGUAAAGCGUGCGCAGGCGGUUUUGUAAGACCGAUGUGAAAUCCCCGGGCUUAACCUGGGAACUGCAUUGGUGACUGCAAGGCUUGAGUGUGUCAGAGGGAGGUGGAAUUCCGCGUGUAGCAGUGAAAUGCGUAGAUAUGCGGAGGAACAACGAUGGCGAAGGCAAUCCCCUGGGCCUGCACUGACGCUCAUGCACGAAAGCGUGGGGAGCAAACAGG
rnacentral:rRNA from 1 species